CCGUUUGGUUGUGCGGGCUGUACAAGUAAGCAGCAAUGUCCAGUCAGAAUUGGUACGUUAAAUCCAAUGCUUCGUUUACAGUAUAUGCCACGUUUUCUGCAUUUUGAGACGCUUUGCAAAAACUCUUUGAGAUGUCAGAAGGUAUGCUCAUCCAAUUAACCCUCAUUUUCAAGUUGAAAUCUAAAUUUCCCCAAACUUUAUUCAAAACCGCGUCUAAUACAGGAGCUAUCUGUGGUAUCAAUUUUUAAUUUGUUCUCGUUCUGAGCAUGUAUGAAAUAUUUUCCGUUAUCCGUUACGAAAUCAAUAUUCCCUCAUCAACGUGUGUACUUCUCAACUGCCAGGAUAUUUACCGGGAAUUAAAAGUAUAGACAUGGAAAACGGGUAUCAAAUCAAUGUUAAUGUAUGUUUUAGUAAAAAGGUCCAUACAUUUGUUAGGUAUUAAGCCAUUACCAAAAAAAAUCAAAGGAAAAGCAUGCGCAGUAAUAUGGUAAAUCAAGGCACAAAAUAGUCCAACUUAUAUUUGACAAACAACACAUUCAUUAACCUAACCAAUACAUAAAACAUUAACAAAUAUCUGUAGUUAUGACCAAAUUAUAAAACAUGGACGAAUUUCUAAGGUUUUAACCCGUUCGUGAAACAAUAUCUGGAAUUUUGUCUAUUUGCGAUGAUGUUUCCUUCUUGUUCAGUUAACCAAAAAAUCAUAUUAUUUGAUUUCUUAAUUUUUACAGUUGUUUCGUGAUGAGAACCAUAUAUCAGCUUUUCAACAUGUCUGAUUACUGUUUGUAAAUAAAAUAGUUAUCAAAGGUACAAGGAUUAUAAUUUAGUACGCCAGACGCACGUUUCGUCUACAUACGACUCAUAAGUGACGCGCAUAUCAAAAUAUUUAUAAAGCCAAAUAAGUACAAAAUAGAAGAGCAUUGAGAAUCCAAAAAUUCAAAAAGGUUGUGCCAAAUACGGCUAAUGUAAUCUAUGCCUUGGAUAAAAAAGUCCUUAGUUUUUCGAAAAAUUCAAAGUUUUGUAAACAGGAAAAAAACAUGACCACAUUAUUGAUAUUUAUGUCAACACCGAAGUGUUGACUACUGGGCUGGUGAUACCAUAUAUCCGUAUAUGAAUUGAUCAUGUUGAUGUAAGAAGAGUCAUACCUAUAAGUAAAAAGCCUUUUUAAUAUUUAAGAAAGCCCAAUUUUCUUUGAAAAUCAAUAAUUGAAUACACUUUAUUCUGUUAUAGAGUUCAUUACAAAAUAUAUAUAUAUAAAUAAUUUGAUUUUGAAUGUAAUGUCUUCUGAUUGACUGACAGUGUCCAGUCUAUCAGCUAAUAGACAUAAUUUUGUCAUUUUACCGUGACGUCAUCCGUUUUUCAUGAUUAACUCCGGUUUGAAAUAAAUUAUAUAAAGUAUGUUCCCUGUUGGAAUUUUGAAAACCAGGAUAAAAUUAAGAACUAAAUCAUUAGGAAUGACUACUGUAAUUUUCUGACUAUACGAAAUAGCAAAAUAAAAUGUGAUACACCACAAUUUUAUGCUAUUUCUCCAUAUAUAGAAAACAUAUUACAGUCAUUCCUUAAAAAUAUUUGUAAUAAGUCUCAAAGACAUUGCCAAAUGUUACGACCCCCCCCUCCUGUUAACAUUGACACAUUUAUAAAACACACUUAUACAUUACUAUCAUCAUUAUCAUCUUACCUUAUAAUGAUUGUACUUAUCUUUUGUUAGGAGGCAAGACUUAGAUGGAUCAGUAUGUGAUGAAAUACAAGCCGACGAGGGAAAAAAACAAGUAUAAGAAAACUUAUCUUGACGUUAAUGACGAAUAUAGUGAACUCGGACAUCGAUUUUGAAAAACCCAUAGAACCUGCGUCAACAAAUCUGUGAUGUAAGUUAGGGAUAGUGCAUGGCCUAUGAUGAAUAAAAAUACA
rnacentral:lncRNA from 1 species